UCCCAGCAGCUCAGCGUGCAGAAGACUGAGGAGCCAUUGGUCAGUGUAGGAGGUGCCUGGAGUUUUGGAGAUGGGAUCCACAGGAAUUCAACACAACACGAAAUAAUCGACAAAUUCGGGGAAUGUUAAUCUGACCAUCCCCAGUUACAAAUGAUGUUUCAUGCUACCUUCUAUUCCUGCCUUCAUAAAUCAAGCUCUAAAUCUCCAGGAAAAAGUGCGCUCAGGAUCGCCAGAGAAAUGUCCUUCCAACUGUGCAUGGAAAGGUAUGAUUUUGUGCAGCAGGUGAAGGACUGGCUAGAGUAAGUGUGUGCUGAGCUUUUGUGUUUGAAAGCGAGCCUGUGCACUUCUAACGAUUGGAAGGUUUCCUUGCCUUCUCCGAUCUUACACACAGCAAGGACAGCAAAGCCUUCCAGACCUGCCUGUGACAUGCACUGCACAUUCUAAAGAUGCCUGUGCAAUGGAAAACACCACUGUCUGCUCCAGCACAGCUGCCAUUCUUCCAUCUUAUCGACCUUAAUGCAACAACUCCUCACAGGCAGAGAUUUUAAAAUGUGUUCUUGGCAGAAGAGAGACUCAAAGAUGGGACAAAUGGGUCAUUUAAGUGCCUGUUAAAAUGGAAACAGACAUAGUAUAGUCAGAGGAUUGUGGCAGCUAAGAACAUAGUCUCUGGAGCAAAUCUGCACGGGUGGCAACGCCAAGCACAUGAGGUCCUAAGUUGUAUGAACUUAGGAAAAGAAAAAGAGAACAUAUAUCCCCCUACCUUUUGAUUUCCAACAGUCUACUGAGAGGCCAAAAUUAUUUGCAGGGAAAGAAAAGGGGAAUGCCAUCCCCACCCUCUCGCAGCUACA
rnacentral:sRNA from 1 species